CCUACGGGCGGCAGCAGUGGGGAAUAUUGGACAAUGGGGGGAACCCUGAUCCAGCCAUGCCGCGUGUGUGAAGAAGGCCCUCUGGUUGUAAAGCACUUUCAGUGAGGAAGAACGCCUGGUGGUUAAUACCCAUCAGGAAAGACAUCACUCACAGAAGAAGCACCGGCUAACUCCGUGCCAGCAGCCGCGGUAAUACGGAGGGUGCGAGCGUUAAUCGGAAUUACUGGGCGUAAAGCGCGCGUAGGUGGCUUGAUAAGCCGGUUGUGAAAGCCCCGGGCUCAACCUGGGAACGGCAUCCGGAACUGUCAAGCUAGAGUGCAGGAGAGGAAGGUAGAAUUCCCGGUGUAGCGGUGAAAUGCGUAGAGAUCGGGAGGAAUACCAGUGGCGAAGGCGGCCUUCUGGACUGACACUGACACUGAGGUGCGAAAGCGUGGGUAGCAAACAGGAUUAGAUACCCUUGUAGUC
rnacentral:rRNA from 1 species